rnacentral:rRNA from 1 species
UACGUAGGCAGCGAGCGUUGUUCGGAGUUACUGGGCGUAAAGAGUGCGUAGGCGGUUUUCUAAGUUUGGUGUGAAAUCUCCCGGCUUAACUGGGAGGGUGCGCCGAAAACUGGAGGGCUUGAGUAUGGGAGAGGUAAGCGGAAUUCCUGGUGUAGCGGUGAAAUGCGUAGAUAUCAGGAGGAACACCGGUGGCGAAGGCGGGUCUCUGGGCCGAUACUGACGCUGAGGAGCGAAAGCGUGGGGAGCAAACAGG